AUGAAAAUGUGAGGAUGGAAACAGCUGCAGGUACUUCAGAUGGUUAAAAACAUCUGCAUGGACAGAACCAGGGGAACGGAUGACGACAUGGAAAACCACAUUUGAGUAAUUGUAAUUAUUGUGGGAACUUCUUCUACCCUGAUAUUUGAGCUUUGAGCUUCAGUACGUUGGUGAUAUUAUUCAAUAUAAAGUCAUAUCUUUUUAUUUUUAUUUUAGUUUUAACUCUUAACUUCACUUCCUGCCUUGUCCUGUCUUCCCCUGUGAUUUUCUGUCGUCAUGAUUGUUCCAAUGUGUCCAAUCACCUGCACCUUCCUAGGGUAUUUAAGCUGUGUGUGUCUCUUGUAACUGUUGAAUGUCUUGAAGUCUAUGUCAGUGUUCCUGGUUCCUGUCUGCGUUUUCGCCCCUUGGUAUUUUCGCUUCUGGAAUUUUCGACUAUUACGUCUUUUUGUUUUUGAAACUCUGCUCUUGAGUCCUGCCUUCCCCGCCCAUCCUGACACAUUUAAGUUCAUCUUUGUGUUAAGAGUUUUAACAGAUGAUGUUUGUAUUUUAUCUUCACCUGUUUGUGUUUAAUACAUUCUGUAAUGUUUAAUCAUUUUAUGCAUCAAUAAACUUGCAGCUCUAA